CCUGACUUGGCGUGGUUCUGCUUCUGUAAGAUUCUGCUCGCUCUCCCCUGAGCCCUCCCCCACUGAAAGCAGGAUGUAAAAGGAGAAAUCAAAUCGCUUCCCAUUGCCGAGGAACCUUUCUGGGCGCUAGCCCACCUCGGCCGCUGGGUAUAAUAGACGGGCUCGAAUCCGGCUCAGAGCGUGGCGCGUCUCUACUGCUGAGGUAGAACCCAGAAGGGAUUCAUUGAGACAGUAAAUCAGGAGAAAAGGACUGUAAGGAGAUGGGUCCUGAUUGCAGGAGGUCACUGGAGUGUGACCGAGAGGAUGCGUUCUUGUCCCCAGCUCUUCCCUUCUCACUCUGCCUCUGAUGACAGGAACAGCUUUUCUCCACUGGAUCUUUCUGCCAUGAUGUUCGUGACUUGGAGCAGCCAAGCACAGACUGAACCUUGUGAACUGUGAGCAAAAUAAACCUCUCCUCCUUAAGUUGUAGAUGUCAACUAUUUUGUUGAAGGGACAAAAAGAAAAGUUGCUAAUAGAGAGAUUGACCUGUAUUAAAUAAGUCAGUAAUCUUUUUAGGAAAAGAAAGUUAUCUGGAGAGAAAUUAUAAAAGGUGUGGCGGAAAAUUAUGAGAUCUAAACUUUAAUGGUUAAAUGUAGGAGAUGCCACAAAAUGAGGACGGACAGAGAGAGCUGUACUACUGGUAAAUUCACAGCGGCUACACUGGAUUGUCAUGGUAUGAUAGAAACCAAGAGUGUUGCAAAAGGACCAAAAAAGAAGAAGUAAUAUGCGGAAAGAAAAAAUGCCUUUGGAAUUUAGUAAUCUGAAAGUGUCUGAUGUAUUUAUUAACAGUGUUUCAGUUGAAUGAAUCCAGGAAAUAGCCACUUUGGAAUUAGUUGAGAGGUUAGAGGAAAAUUAAUAAAUGUGCACAGCAAGUUGGAAAACUGUUUCAAGAACCUUGUUUGUUAUGAAGGUAACUUUUGGUUCAUAGAAAAUUUUGCUUCAAGCUUUGGCAUUCAUAUAGCUAUGAGGAUGGAAGAAAACGUGAGGCUUUUCUGUUUGCAAGACUAACGAAUUGAACCUGCAGCCUCACAUAAGCUAGGCAAAGAUUCUACAUGGAGCUACACUCAGCAGCCUGGCAAUCAUUUUUUGUUUGCUUGUCUUUGAGAUGGCUCACACUCAGAAUCUAUUCAUUUGCCAUGAAGAUCAUCAAGCAGCUCUCCAAGGAAGACUAUGUGUUGAGAAACAUGUCCCAUGCCGAAAGCCGGAAGGAACUCAUCAGCCAUGCGAGGAAGCCUGCUGGGCAGUGGAUUCUUCAGCUCCACACACACCUUCAGAGGAUUGCAGUUCUAGCUGAAUUAUGAUUGAAUCUCAUGAGAAACUCCAAGGCAGAGCCAUCCAGCCAAGUCACUCCCUAAUUUCUGAUGCGCAGAGCAUGAGACACGAAAGAACGUCUUCAUUCACUUCUCCAUUUCCAAGCAAUUGCAGCUUGGGGAACACAUCGCACUCAAUCCUGUGGAGAAAAAUGAAUUUCUGUACACGGAGGACAUCUAAGAGAUGUAAUCAAAAUAUACACCUGAAUGUUUAAAAAUUUAUUAUAGUAAAAGACACAUUGUUUUUUAAUCCUGCCUCGAAGAACUCCCUCUCUCUUUGAACAUACUUUCCCAUUGUUUUUGCCACUUUGGGAACAAGUUCUGAAAGUCUGUUUUGUGAGUGUAUUACAAGCGGUGAUCAAAAUUCGGUGAAUGCCCCUGCUGUGUGCCAGGCUCAUAAGAAUAUUAUUCUGUGUCUUCAUCUACCUUAGCCACCAGAUCUGGCACUGUGUGACUUCUAGCUCUUCCUCAAUGUCAAAAUGACUAUGAAAGAGAAAUGUUUUGAACGUAUUUAGGACAUUGAGGCAGCCAGGACAGCACAAUUAAAGUUUUGAAGGUUUAGGAAAAAGUUAUUUUACUAAAUGUUUAUGGGAUACAUAUUGAUAACUUUUUACUCAUUCCAAAUAUUAUUAAUUUGUACUUUCCAUAUGUUUUGACUGGAGUUUUAUAAACACUACUUAGUAUUUUCAUG
ensembl:lncRNA